rnacentral:rRNA from 1 species
UACGGGGGGAGCAAGCGUUGUUCGGAUUUACUGGGCGUAAAGGGCGCGUAGGCGGCCACCGCAGGUCGGUUGUGAAAUCCCCGGGCUUAACCUGGGAACUGCAGUCGAGACUGUCUAGCUAGAGUAUGGGAGAGGGAAGUGGAAUUUCAGGUGUAGCGGUGAAAUGCGUAGAUAUCUGAAGGAACAUCAGUGGCGAAAGCAACUUCCUGGACCAAUACUGACGCUCAUGUGCGAAAGCGUGGGGAGCAAACAGG